rnacentral:rRNA from 1 species
GAUGAACGCUAGCGGCAGGCUUAAUACAUGCAAGUCGAGGGGCAGCAUGGUGUACCAAUACACUGAUGGCGACCGGCAAACGGGUGCGGAACACGUGUGCAACCUACCUUUAUCUGGAGGAUAGCCUUUCAAAAGGAAAAUUAAUACUCCAUAAUAUAUUGAAUGGCAUCAUUUGGUAUUGAAAGCUCCGGCGGAUAAAGAUGGGCACGCGCAAAAUUAGCUAGUUGGUGAGGUAACGGCUCACCAAGGCAAUGAUCUUUAGGGGGCCUGAGAGGGUGAUCCCCCACACUGGUACUGAAACACGGACCAAACUCCUACGGGAGGCAGCAGUGAGGAAUAUUGAACAAUGGGUGCAAGCCUGAUCCACCCAUCCCGCGUGAAGGACAACGGCCCUAUGGGUUGUAAACUUCUUUUGUAUAGGGAUAAACCUACCCUCGUGAGGGUAGCUGAAGGUACUAUACAAAUAAGCACCGGCUAACUCCGUGCCAGCAC